GAUAUUAAGCAGUGGUGAUUGGUUAUAGUGAUUUAAGUCAAGUGUGAAUGAUAAACUGCUGUUCCUAAAGUUGGCAUUACCAGUAUUAAAUCAUAGAUAUACAUGUUAAUGUGUUUUAAUAAUGAGAUCUAUGUUGAUCCCUGUGGGCGAUGAUACAUUUCAUAUGU
rnacentral:miRNA from 1 species